rnacentral:rRNA from 1 species
UACGUAGGGUGCAAGCGUUGUCCGGAAUUAUUGGGCGUAAAGAGCUCGUAGGCGGUUUGUCGCGUCUGCUGUGAAAACUGGAGGCUCAACCUCCAGCCUGCAGUGGGUACGGGCAGACUAGAGUGCGGUAGGGGAGAUUGGAAUUCCUGGUGUAGCGGUGGAAUGCGCAGAUAUCAGGAGGAACACCGAUGGCGAAGGCAGAUCUCUGGGCCGUAACCGACGCUGAGACGCGAAAGCGUGGGGAGCAAACAGG